rnacentral:rRNA from 1 species
AUGGGGAAUCUUGCGCAAUGGGCGAAAGCCUGACGCAGCCAUGCCGCGUGAAUGAUGAAGGUCUUAGGAUUGUAAAAUUCUUUCACCGGGGACGAUAAUGACGGUACCCGGAGAAGAAGCUCCGGCUAACUUCGUGCCAGCAGCCGCGGUAAUACGAAGGGGGCUAGCGUUGCUCGGAAUUACUGGGCGUAAAGGGCGCGUAGGCGGACAGCUUAGUCAGAGGUGAAAGCCCAGGGCUCAACCUUGGAAUUGCCUUUGAUACUGGCUGUCUUGAGUUUGGGAGAGGUGAGUGGAACUCCGAGUGUAGAGGUGAAAUUCGUAGAUAUUCGGAAGAACACCAGUGGCGAAGGCGACUCACUGGCCCAAUACUGACGCUGAGGCGCGAAAGCGUGGGGAGCAAACAGGAUUAGAUACCCUAGUAGUCC